UACGGUGAAUACGUUCCCGGACCUUGUACACACCGCCCGUCAAGCCAUGGAAGCUGGGUGUACCUAAAGUCGAUAACCGUAAGGAGUCGCCUAGGGUAAAACUAGUAACUAGGGCU
rnacentral:rRNA from 1 species